CCCAACAACACUUUAACACUUCAGAUGAGCCAACAAAGAGAUAAGGAGUUGUUAUCACAUCUCCAUGGCUCUCCUUAGGUAAUCCUGGGCUUUUCAUCCAUUCUUUCACCAGACACAUUUCGAUUGCAUGUGCAGGGAGAAGUAUAAAUGUUUUGCUUGCUGUUGCUUAAAGUUCAUUUGAACAGACGGAGCUCAAUGAAUUCCAUCUUCCGCAGCCAAAUUAAAUAGAAAACAGUGCAUUCUUAAGCAGUUCACACUUAACUCCACCUCUCAAAUCAGAGGAAAAAGCUGACGUGAAACCAGUUAAAGAACAGUCAUCCUCUCUCGCACGGAAAUCAAGACAUUGUGUUUCUGAAGCCAGACAGAAGGAAAAGUGGUUUCCAAUUAUGUGGGGGGCUCUAUAUCAACUUCACCAGCAUAUAUGGAUACUGGGGAAUAAUUGUGGGACAGUAAAGGCUGGCUGCACCAUGCAAUAAAAAUCAAUGAAGCAAGAUGCUGGUUGAUUUGUGGUUGUGGCUGAUUUACAAAGUCCUUCUCCCUGGUAAUUUACUAGAUCAAGGUAGCUUCUAUAAACCCAACCUGAAUGAAUAUGGAGUAAUACAGGAUUUGAGUUCCUGAGAUCUCCUAGACAUAAAAGAAGGAAGCAAGAAAAUAAGAGAUUAAAGACUGAGAACUAGCCUAUCAAAAAUGACACUGGAGACACGUGGCCUCUCUAUUUAUAAAAGAAGACCACUUAUAUGGGUUUCCUAUGGGCU
rnacentral:lncRNA from 1 species